rnacentral:rRNA from 1 species
UACGGGGGGGGCAAGCGUUGUUCGGAAUUACUGGGCGUAAAGGGCUCGUAGGUGGCCAACUAAGUCAGACGUGAAAUCCCUCAGCUUAACUGGGGAACUGCGUCUGAUACUGGAUGGCUUGAGAUUGGGAGAGGGAUGCGGAAUUCCAGGUGUAGCGGUGAAAUGCGUAGAUAUCUGGAGGAACACCGGUGGCGAAGGCGGCAUCCUGGACCAACACUGACACUGAGGGGCGAAAGCCAGGGGAGCAAACGGG